UGGGGAGUAGCCCAGCUGGUUUAGGGCAUCAGGUUUUGGUCCUGAAAGUCGAGGGUUCGAAUCCCUCCUCCCCAUCUA
rnacentral:tRNA from 1 species